rnacentral:rRNA from 1 species
CCUACGGGAGGCAGCAGUGGGGAAUUUUGGACAAUGGGCGCAAGCCUGAUCCAGCAAUGCCGCGUGAGUGAAGAAGGCCUUCGGGUUGUAAAGCUCUUUUGUCAGGGAAGAAACGGUGGGGGCUAAUAUCCUCCACUAAUGACGGUACCUGAAGAAUAAGCACCGGCUAACUACGUGCCAGCAGCCGCGGUAAUACGUAGGGUGCAAGCGUUAAUCGGAAUUACUGGGCGUAAAGCGUGCGCAGGCGGUUUUGUAAGUCUGUCGUGAAAGCCCCGGGCUCAACCUGGGAAUUGCGAUGGAGACUGCAAGGCUUGAAUCUGGCAGAGGGGGGUAGAAUUCCACGUGUAGCAGUGAAAUGCGUAGAGAUGUGGAGGAACACCGAUGGCGAAGGCAGCCCCCUGGGUCAAGAUUGACGCUCAUGCACGAAAGCGUGGGGAGCAAACAGGAUUAGAUACCCUGGUAGUCCACGCCCUAAACGAUGUCUACUAGUUGUCGGGUUUUAAUUACUUGGUAACGCAGCUAACGCGUGAGUAGACCGCCUGGGGGAGGUACGGUCGCGAAGUAAGUUAAACGUUAAAGUUAAAGUAAGUUAGAGUGNGAGNGCGACGACGACGACGACGGAGGAGGAG